GGGGAUUGUUUGGCUUUAGGUUGCUUGCUUGGUUUUGUUGCUGAGUGGGUGGUUUUUAGCUUGAUCUUCUUCGAGGAUGUCAACCGUAAAGGUGCAUGAGUGGUGUUUGGUUUGUUACGGGUGGUUGGAUGUCUGUUUGCGCAGCGACUUCCAUGCGUUCAUGCCUCUUCAGUUGUGUUACAAGGCAUUAUUUGUCUUGUGCAUCCAAUGGGUUUCUGUGUUUCAUACCUAAAGAAGGCAUUAAUUGGGCAGAUGAAAGUUCAUUUUCGUAAUGCAUUGCUUGCAGUGUCGUACGAACCCUGAAGCGGUCUCUAUGGUCCUUGCUAUUCUUGCCAGAGCAUUGAUGGCAUGGCCUUUGGAGUGUCGUUUGGUGUUUAGAAUAUGGAAUUUGAUGUGGGCAUUAGGGUCUUUUAUGAUUCUAUGCUUGUCCUCUUUUAGCGUUCUUGCUUCUUUAAACGAUCGACUGUCAUGUUCGUGCAUGGCGGGCUGUGUCGAAAAGGAAUGC
rnacentral:misc_RNA from 1 species